rnacentral:lncRNA from 1 species
GCGUGGGUUAAGGUUAAGAGAUUUAAAGGUUAAGUUGUGUUAGAGUUUGUCCUCGACUUGACUUAAUCUUAAGGUGUAACUUAAGUUAGACUCAACCCAAAUCCACUUGCUUGACCUAUUCAUUAUGUAGGUUUGGGUUAAUAUUGACCUCUAACAUAAUCCAAAUCUGACAUUAACCAAGCUUGAACAUGGAAUAACCUGACUUAACUCGACUCAACCUGAUAGAUAAGUAAAUAGACAACUCAUAUUUAUAUUUUCAAGUCAUAUUAUAUUUUGUGUAGUUUAUUUUUAUAUUUAUAUAGUUGUAUAUUUAACCUUGUUAGAUAAUAAAAACUGAUGAAAUGUUGUGGCCUCAAUCCAAUAAAUAUUAAUGUGAUAAAGAUGUCCAAAACCUUUCUUUUAUCUUGUAAUUUUUGUACGAUUGGAUCUAACCUAUUUAACAUCGCAUAAUCCAAACUAAAUAGACUAACCUAACCCAACCAAAAUUUAGCUUAAAAUGAUGUUGGGUUGCGUUGUUAGGUUGCAUUUGGUGCAUCGCUAGGCAAUCUUGGAAGGUAAUAUAGAUUACCUGCAAGACAGAUUGCCAUCAUUAAAUUGUCAGUAAUAUUUUUUUGAUAUAAAGGAGACUAAUGUGCAUUAGCACAACAGUCGCCAAAUUUUCUUAAGAAGAAAGUGAGUACAAAAAAAAAAAGAGAAGAACCCUCCAAAACAUCAACUGAAGUUCAAAUUUAAAAUUUGAAAUUCAAAUUUCCCUCAACCACCCUAACAACCAAUAUUAAAGUUAAAAAAUUUUCCCUUGACAUUCAUUCAAAUUUCAAAAUAGUUGAAUGAGACUGUCGACCACCGGAGAUUGAGGUGGUGAAAAGAUCGGAACAACAAGUGGAUAGGAGAGCAUCAUCGACCACCACACUAGAUAGAGUCGAGACCAGAA